rnacentral:rRNA from 1 species
UACGAAGGGGGCGAGCGUUGUUCGGAAUUACUGGGCGUAAAGGGCGCGUAGGCGGCCGAUCAAGUCAGAUGUGAAAGUCCUGGGCUUAACCUGGGGACUGCAUUUGAUACUGGUUGGCUUGAAUGCAGGAGAGGAUAGCGGAAUUCCCAGUGUAGAGGUGAAAUUCGUAGAUAUUGGGAAGAACACCGGUGGCGAAGGCGGCUAUCUGGACUGUGAUUGACGCUGAGGCGCGAAAGCGUGGGGAGCAAACAGG